rnacentral:tRNA from 1 species
GGGGAUGUAGCACAGAGGGUAGAGAGCUAGCCUCACAAACUAGAGCCCCUGGGUUUGAUCCCCAGCAUUGCCC